UUCUGCUCAGAUUGAACGCUGGCGGCAGGCCUAACACAUGCAAGUCGAGCGGAUGAGAGGAGCUUGCUCCUUGAUUUAGCGGCGGACGGGUGAGUAAUGCCUAGGAAUCUGCCUGGUAGUGGGGGAUAACGUCCGGAAACGGGCGCUAAUACCGCAUACGUCCUACGGGAGAAAGCAGGGGACCUUCGGGCCUUGCGCUAUCAGAUGAGCCUAGGUCGGAUUAGCUUGUUGGUGAGGUAAUGGCUCACCAAGGCGACGAUCCGUAACUGGUCUGAGAGGAUGAUCAGUCACACUGGAACUGAGACACGGUCCAGACUCCUACGGGAGGCAGCAGUGGGGAAUAUUGGACAAUGGGCGAAAGCCUGAUCCAGCCAUGCCGCGUGUGUGAAGAAGGUCUUCGGAUUGUAAAGCACUUUAAGUUGGGAGGAAGGGCAUUAACCUAAUACGUUAGUGUUUUGACGUUACCGACAGAAUAAGCACCGGCUAACUUCGUGCCAGCAGCCGCGGUAAUACGAAGGGUGCAAGCGUUAAUCGGAAUUACUGGGCGUAAAGCGCGCGUAGGUGGUUCGUUAAGUUGGAUGUGAAAGCCCCGGGCUCAACCUGGGAACUGCAUCCAAAACUGGCGAGCUAGAGUACGGUAGAGGGUGGUGGAAUUUCCUGUGUAGCGGUGAAAUGCGUAGAUAUAGGAAGGAACACCAGUGGCGAAGGCGACCACCUGGACUGAUACUGACACUGAGGUGCGAAAGCGUGGGGAGCAAACAGGAUUAGAUACCCUGGUAGUCCACGCCGUAAACGAUGUCAACUAGCCGUUGGGUUCCUUGAGAACUUAGUGGCGCAGCUAACGCAUUAAGUGACCGCCUGGGGAGGCCC
rnacentral:rRNA from 1 species